GACGAACGCUGGCGGCGUGCUUAACACAUGCAAGUCGAACGAAGAGCGAUGGAAGCUUGCUUCUAUCAAUCUUAGUGGCGAACGGGUGAGUAACGCGUAAUCAACCUGCCCUUCAGAGGGGGACAACAGUUGGAAACGACUGCUAAUACCGCAUACGAUCUAACCUCGGCAUCGAGGAUAGAUGAAAGGUGGCCUCUACAUGUAAGCUAUCACUGAAGGAGGGGAUUGCGUCUGAUUAGCUAGUUGGGGGGGUAACGGCCCACCAAGGCGAUGAUCAGUAGCCGGUCUUAGAGGAUGAACGGCCACAUUGGGACUGAGACACGGCCCAGACUCCUACGGGAGGCAGCAGUGGGGAAUCUUCCGCAAUGGAGGAAAGUCUGACGGAGCAACGCCGCGUGAGUGAUGACGGCCUUCGGGUUGUAAAGCUCUGUUAAUCGGGACGAAAGGCCUUCUUGCGAAUAGUGAGAAGGAUUGACGGUACCGGAAUAGAAAGCCACGGCUAACUACGUG
rnacentral:rRNA from 1 species